UUGGGCGUAAGAGCUCGUAGGCGGUUUGUCGCGUCUGCUGUGAAAACUGGAGGCUCAACCUCCAGCCUGCAGUGGGUACGGGCAAACUAGAGUGCGGUAGGGGAGAUUGGAAUUCCUGGUGUAGCGGUGGAAUGCGCAGAUAUCAGGAGGAACACCGAUGGCGAAGGCAGAUCUCUGGGCCGUAACUGACGCUGAGGAGCGAAAGCAUGGGGAGCGAACAGGAUUAGAUACCCUGGUAGUCCAUGCCGUAAACGUUGGGCGCUAGAUGUGGGGACCAUUCCACGGUUUCCGUGUCGCAGCUAACGCAUUAAGCGCCCCGCCUGGGGAGUACGGCCGCAAGGCUAAAACUCAAAGGAAUUGACGGGGGCCCGCACAAGCGGCGGAGCAUGCGGAUUAAUUCGAUGCAACGCGAAGAACCUUACCAAGGCUUGACAUUUACGAGAACGCUGCAGAAAUGCAGAACUCUUUGGACACUCGUAAACAGGUGGUGCAUGGUUGUCGUCAGCUCGUGUCGUGAGAUGUUGGGUUAAGUCCCGCAACGAGCGCAACCCUCGUUCUAUGUUGCCAGCGCGUUAUGGCGGGAACUCAUAGGAGACUGCCGGGGUCAACUCGGAGGAAGGUGGGGAUGAC
rnacentral:rRNA from 1 species